rnacentral:rRNA from 1 species
CCUACGGGAGGCAGCAGUGGGGAAUAUUGCACAAUGGGGGAAACCCUGAUGCAGCGACACCGCGUGAGUGAAGAAGUAUCUCGGUACGUAAAGCUCUAUCAGCAGGGAAGAAAAUGACGGUACCUGACUAAGAAGCCCCGGCUAACUACGUGCCAGCCGCCGCGGUAAUACGUAGGGGGCCAGCGUUAUCCGGAUUUACUGGGUGUAAAGGGAGCGUAGACGGCAGCACAAGUCUGGAGUGAAAUCCCGGGGCUUAACCCCGGAACUGCUUUGGAAACUGGGCGGCUGGAGUGCAGGAGGGGUAAGCGGAAUGCCCAGUGUAGCGGUGAAAUGCGUAGAUAUGAGGAGGAACACCGGUGGCGAAGGCGGCUUACUGGACUGUAACUGACGUUGAGGCUCGAAAGCGUGGGGAGCAAACAGGAUUAGAUACCCCAGUAGUC